ensembl:lncRNA
GGGCGUGCCGAAAGGUAGGGGCGUGCCAAAAGGUUUCUCAUUGGUCAAAGGAGUUUUACUGUGUUGGCCAAUCAGCGGUAAAUAUACAAGUACGUAUUUUCCUUUAGACAAGAGAAGGUGGCGGCGAUAAGAUGUGAAGUAAUUAUUCAUCAUACGUUUAUCUAUACUUUAUAUACCACAAAUAUGUAUAUUAAGAUAGCUUGUUACAAUACGAUCAUAAUUUUCCCUUUGCGUUAUAUCUUGCAGCUUUAGUAAUUAGUUUAUUGUUGUUGACAGACAUACUGUAUGUACAGUGAGACAAAACGAUGAACGCAUCUGCAUCGAAGCUCUCAGAGCUGAUAGUUUAUAUCUGCGUCCUUUUUGUGCAAUACAGUACAGAAUACAUCCUGAAUCCAACUAAUGCAGAGUAUAUUCAAGUAUUCAACACACUGGUUGUGAAGAACCCUUUCCAGAGAAAUACAAAAGGAAAUGACUGUGAAACUUGUGUUGGGGAGGAUUCAGUGUCUGUUGAGGCCCAUGUGAAUGUGCUACAAAGUGAGUAUCAGAAAACACCUCCAGACACCUGGACGGUCAAAGACCACACGGCACGAACAUUCUCCUGGAGAUGCUGAGAAAGCACAGAAGUAAUGUCUGUGGAGGAUGUACUAAAAAAAUAUCCAUACUUAAGGACACCUGCUGGAGUGAGUAUAGUAAAAUAAAUCAUCAACUGUAAAAUAUCUUGUUUCAAAUCUUUUCAUGUAAUAUUUUAUUCUUCUGUACCCUUUUAGCCCAUCUGUUAAAAAUGUAAAACAAUAGUUUUAGAAAACAAUGUAAGAUUUAUCAGUGUAAACCAGAACAUGAAAUGCAUCAUAUAUUGUGACCCUUAUACAUUAGCUUCUAAAAGUUUUUGCAGUUCUGCACUGUAUGUAGCUACACUGUCUGAGCCAAAGAGGAUGGAACAGAAUCUGAUGAAUUUGAAAAGCGUUUCUUUUUUUUUAAAUAUUAUUAUUUUUUAUUUAAUUUUUUUUUUUAUGAAGGGGGACCCUGCUACACCCUUUCCUACCAUACACCUGAUGGAUACUGACUGGAAAAUGGUAAUCAUAGAAGGAGGGCUCAGUGUGGUGACAGAAGAUGGAAUAGACGUGUGCCAGUGCACCAGCCUUGAUGAAGCCUUCAUAACAGCCUUCUGUAUCAUUGACUGGAAGUCUGUCAGUCCAGAUGUGAGGAGGACACACAGAGUGAGUUUGAGCUCAGCAGAUGUGAUGGCUGUAGAUACUGUGGUCUUGGAAAGAAGGGGGUCUUCACAGCUUUCUAUUCAGACAAAGAGUUUGCUGGAUUCUGAGUUUCUAUGGACUGCUACUACAGAAUGAAUGAGUGAGUGGUUUAUCUAUCUAUCUAUCUAUCUAUCUAUCUAUCUAUCUAUCUAUCUAUAUUAUUUUUUUUUACUUGAAUUGGCAACUGAAACUGAAAGCUAAAUAAAUGUUUUAGUGGAUAAAGCUAUGUCUGUUUG